GAUGAACGCUGGCGGCGUGCCUAAUACAUGCAAAUCGAGCGAACAGACGAGGAGCUUGCUCCUUCGACGUUAGCGGCGGACGGGUGAGUAACACGUAGGUAACCUACCUAUAAGACUGGGAUAACUUCGGGAAACCGGAGCUAAUACCGGAUAAUAUUUCGAACCGCAUGGUUCGAUAGUGAAAGAUGGCUUUGCUAUCACUUAUAGAUGGACCUGCGCCGUAUUAGCUAGUUGGUAAGGUAACGGCUUACCAAGGCAACGAUACGUAGCCGACCUGAGAGGGUGAUCGGCCACACUGGAACUGAGACACGGUCCAGACUCCUACGGGAGGCAGCAGUAGGGAAUCUUCCGCAAUGGGCGAAAGCCUGACGGAGCAACGCCGCGUGAGUGAUGAAGGUCUUCGGAUCGUAAAACUCUGUUAUUAGGGAAGAACAAACGUGUAAGUAACUGUGCACGUCUUGACGGUACCUAAUCAGAAAGCCACGGCUAACUACGUGCCAGCAGCCGCAGUAA
rnacentral:rRNA from 1 species